UACGGAGGGUGCAAGCAUUAAUCGGAUUUAUUGGGCGUAAAGGGCGCGUAGGCGGAAAAAUAAGUCGGGCGUGAAAUCCCGGGGCUCAACCUCGGAACAGCGCUUGAAACUAUUUUCCUUGAGGGUAGGCGGAGAAAACGGAAUUCCACAAGUAGCGGUGAAAUGCGUAGAUAUGUGGAAGAACACCUGUGGCGAAGGCGGUUUUCUAGCUUACUCCUGACGCUGAGGCGCGAAAGCAAGGGGAUCAAACAGG
rnacentral:rRNA from 1 species